rnacentral:lncRNA from 1 species
UGGUGGGGUGGAGUCUGCUGGGAAACAGCCGUUUGGUAAGAGCAUUGAUCAUCGGUUGAAAAUUGCUUGUGUCUUGUCCAUGGGUGACGAUUUUGGAGGCAAAAGGAGAUGUCAUAGGGAGAACUGCUGCGUUCCAGUAACUCCUGGGUUUUCCCUCCCAUUCUUCUGGAAACCGUGUUUUCUGACCCACAUCCACAGGGGUUAGAAAACCCCUGCGUUCGUACACAGAGUACAUACUCCAUACUCAGAGCCAGUCAGGAGUGUUGGAAAUUGGUGGACAGGGUACCCCACCCAGCACCACAAGGCCAAGUUUGGGAUAUCACAAGAUUUGGCACUGAGAAAUGUGAAUUUUUUCCAUUCAAUCAGUGGAUCUUAACCCUUUGGGGGUCACUAAUGCCUUUAAAAAUCUAAUAAAGCUACACGUACACACACACACACACACACAAAAAUACACAAUGCACAUAGAAACAAAAACUUGCCACCAAUUUCAAGGGGUUCACAACCUCCCUGAAGCUUACCCAAGAAUUUUUUAGAGCUGCCCUGUCCAAGGUGAUGGCUACAAGCUCCUUGUGGCUACUGGGCCCUUGAAAUGUGGCUACUCAGGAUGGAGAUUUACCACAGACAUAAAAUACAAGCUACAUUUCAAAGACUUCGUUUGAAACAGUAAAGAUUGUAAAAAUAUUUCAAUAAUUUUAUAUGAUUACAAGUUGAAAUGAUAUCUGGAUAUAUUGAGUUACAAAAAAUACAUUAUUAAAGUUAAUUUCACCUAUUUCAGGAUGGGCAUGUUGGCUCACGCCUAUAAUCCCAGCACUUUGGGAGACUGAGGCCAGUGGAUUACCUGAAAUCAGUUCAAGACCAACCUGGCCAACAUGGUAAAACCUUGUCUCUACUAAAAAUAGAAAAAUUAGCCAAGCAUGGUGGUAUGAGCCUGUAGUCCCAGCUACUCCAGAGGCUGAGGUACAAGAAUCGCUUAAACCCAGGAGGCAGAACUUGCUAUGAGUGAAGAUUGCACCACUGUAUGCUACCCUAAGCAACAAAGCAAGACUCUGUCUCAAAAAAAGAAAGAAAAAAAAAGGUUAAUUUCACAUGUUUCAUAAGCCUCAGGAAAGGCUUCCCAGGACUCUCAAAUUAUAAAUGGUCGCUUUAGGUCCUGCCAUACCCUACUCCCCACUGACCAUUUCCUGAUACGGUCAGGAUGGCUGUGCUAGGCUGGGCUCCCAAUGCCACACUUCUCCUUCCUUAGUAUCAGACCUCAUCCCCCUGUGACCGAGGAGGUGCCUUCCCAAGGGAAAAGGACCCCUGGUCAGGCAAGAUAUGGCAAUCUCUUGGCAGAGGCAGAGCAAUGAGCCCUCAACAGCCCACUACCCUCAAAUGGAAAUCCUUAGGCCUAGUCCCUGAGUCUGCAGCCCUUAAGGACGUGGGCCCAGCUGUCCAUACAAACAGCGAUGUACUUUCCUGAAAAUAUAAGAAGAAUGUGCAGUGGUUUCCACUAUAGCCCCCUGCGUGAAUUCUAGUUCUGGGCAAUGUCAGCUAAGAAGAAUCAGAAAUACCACCUAGUCCCUCAUCUUACAGGUGGAGAAACUGAUGUCUAAAGAGGUCAAGUAACCUGUCUGGCCACACAGUUGGUAAGUGAUAUCACCAGGGUCUAGCUCAGAGCAUGGCUCAGAAAACACAUGCAGCAUAAGUGAUCCAGAGAAGGAAUUGAUUGAUCCAGGCAAGGAAGCCAGAUCUCUCACUGCAGUCCAGUGUCCCUUUUACAACCCUCACUGACAUAUCCUCAUCCCUAUUCAGAAAAUGGGGAAUUUACUUACCUGCUGGUAACUGCAAGGGGAUGAAUGCAGAAGAAAAACAGAAGAAGCAGAAGAGAAUUCCAAAGGAGAGCUUUGACUCAAGAGUGACUAUUUAAUCAUUCUACCCUCCUCCGUGGCAGAUUGUGGGUCUUUGCAAGCCCGAGGCAUUCUCACCCCACUCCACUGCCUAGCAACCGUAUUCAAAGACUCACUUAUCCUACAUUAAGUCAAAUUUAU